UUUUGUAUGAUAUGUAUAACUAUGUAACUAUAUACACUAUAUAUCUAUGCACACUGAACAUAUAUAUUUUAACUUUCAUGUAGAGUCUUAAGCACAAGACAUUUUGCUUCACCGAGGGUUUUGGUGGAAGGAAGGGCUUAUUCAUUUGAGCAAUAACUGUGUGGGAUCUUUAUACAAAUUCUUAUGUUCUAUUUACAGCUUGCUUUAAAAUAUGUUAGCAAAAAAACAGCGCACGCAUUAGUUUUCACAAUUUUUGUUCUUCUUUAGUCAUGGGGUCUUUUUAGGUGGUACCUCCAGGUACCACAGGGGGGAAUGUGGUGGAUUUUUGUUUGAUAUGUAUAACUAUGUAACUAUAUACACUAUAUAUCUAUGCGCACUGAACAUAUAUAUUUUAACUUUCAUGUAGAGUCUUAAGCACAAGACAUUUUGCUUCACCGAGGUUUAUUAAGUUGGUACAGUAACAGGGCAGUUAAUGUAGGGUGAGAGUUCUCUUGAAUAAUUUACUUAAUAAUUAAUUAAUUUAACGUCUUUAAUGCAGCACAACCAAAACAGUAACAUUGUAAUAGAGAUCCUGAACACAUCACGAUAAAAUAUCAUACAAAAUACACACACACACACACACACACACACACACACACACACACUCUGAACCCACACUGAAGUGUUUUUAAGCAUGUAACCUGUGUAUUAUAUGUUAUAAGAUUGUGCCACUUGCUGUAUAAGAUUUAAUAAUUAGGAUUAAUGUGUGACCUUUGACCAUGUUGUGACCUAUUGUCAGAGGGUAAAGCAAAGGGUUAACCUAUUGGUGUCACUUUGGACCGGGCCCUCAGCCAGCGCCAGGUGUGAACUCUGGUCGCUACCUGACCCCAGCAGCUGUGCUGGGCGUGUGGGAAAGUUACCCAGCAGCAGGGGGCGGCGACACUGGUCCCUAUAUUAGGGGACCAGAGGACGCCCCCAGGGCUCUUUUUCCUCCUGCUGCUGCUACCUGUCCGUCUCUGUGUUGCUCUGCUGUCUGUGCUUAAGGCUGUACACCCCGGGGUUUUGCUUUGCUUGUUUUCUGCUCUGUAAUUUUCUUGCUAAAUGUCUGUAUGUAUUUUUCCUGCUGUUCAUAUGAUUCAGUGUAUUAAACUCUGUUCCAAGAAUUCUACUCUUUUACAGAGCAUCUUUUUGAGUGUCCUGGUUUUAAUUGGAUUUGGAUCUCCACAUCGUUGGUGGAAGAAGG
ensembl:lncRNA